AGGCCCCUACUGGCCCAUAUCUAUCAGCUGAUAACCACUGAUAAAGCUGAUUGAAGCAGCUGACUGGACAUGGUCAAACAACAUUAUUGGACCAUACUAACCAGCCAUACGUGGGGUCCCAUAUGUGACAUGGCAUUAGACUAGGUAUUUUAGAGAUGUGUAAAAAAUGAAUGUAUGUGGUUUUAUGUGUCUUUGGCAGCGAGAAGAGGCUGAAUCCAAAGUCUGAGAAGAGGCUGAGAAACAGAGGAUCGAACGAGAGAAACACUUCCAGAAGGAGGAGCUGGAAGACUUGGAAAGAAAGAAGCGUCUGGAAGAAAUCAUGAAGAGGACUCGUAAGAGUGACGCUGGAGCACAGAAAGAUGUUAAAACUCCAACUCAGUAAUACAGAAAAAUCCGUCAGAAGCUCUUCAUAGUGGUGCGACAAACCAAUCACCAAUGAAGUAAUCGAGACGCUGCAUGAAUCGAAAUUGAAAUGAAGUUGCAUGAAAUAUGUUUUGCUUAUUGUCCCGCUUGUGUGUGGAGUUUUGCAUCUUCUACUCGUGUUGGUGUGGGUUUCCUCUGGGUGCUACGGUUUCC